AUGAAGGGGACGCCGCGCCUGAAAACCUAGCCACCGCUGAGGGUCGGGAGCGAGCGUGGGAGGCCUCUAGCGACCGACCUGGAGGGAUGGGAGGAAGUAGCGGGGCGAGGGGAGGUCUUUGGUCUGCCACACGCCACCGGGGCUCGCCGGAAUCGGCCGUCGUGAGUGGUGGCGGCGGCGAGGAGUCCGGGGCGACAGAGAUCUCGUGAGAGAGGAGACGAGAGGAGACUUGCGCGUGAGAGCAGGAUCGAUCGGUGGAUGCGGUUUUUACUCUUUCCCUUCGGCACAGUAAAAUUGACGUGGCAUAGACGAGGCGGCG
rnacentral:rRNA from 1 species